UCAAGUUUGUGACAAAACCCGAAAAACGCGUAAUUGUCCCUUAAAUUGCAUAUCCCGAAUCCUAAUCGCAUGCGAUCCAUUCUUACAAACAAAGCCGUAGUUUAGUUGGAAAGGGUCUUUUUCUUUCCUACUUGGAAGGUUUCUUCUUCGUAUUUCUCGUAAAACUCUCAACCUCAAAGGAAAAAAGAAAAGGCAUUUAGUUAUAUGGAUAACAAAUCACCAAGCAAGGAGUCCAAGGAGGAGACACGUGAGUCGCUUAUCGCUAUCUCUAACUCUUUACCUGAUAAAACUCUGGAAUCAAAGUCUGCCUUGGAGAGCAAGAAAUCAGAUGGGGUUGCGAUGCAAAACCGUGAUCAAGAUGACAAGUUUAGGUCUGAACUGAUUUCAAUUUCUUAUGCUGAAUCCCCUGAUGAAAAAAUUUGAUCAGUUUCAAUGGUAAACUAGUUCAUGUGUAACUCCUGGAUUAUCGUUUGGUUGAUCUUUCUCUAUGUCAAUGUUGUGACUUGACUGUUUAUAUACUGUCUCAGCUAUCGUGCAACUCUAUGUAAAUACUUUCACCGGCUACAUGCUUGGGUCAUAUGUUGUAACGACCGUGACAACUGACAAGUGUGUUGUCUAAGUACUAUGUUAAUUCAUGUGAGAUACUUGAAAGUUCAAAGCGUAGUACAUUUUCAUAUGUUAAAUAACGCAGUGUUUUGGCCUCCUCUUUACUGUUAUUAA